UACGUAGGUGGCAAGCGUUGUCCGGAUUUACUGGGCGUAAAGAGCGCGCAGGCGGUCGGAUAAGUCGAAUGUGAAAGCCCCCGGCUCAACUGGGGAGGGUCAUUCGAUACUGUUCGACUCGAAGGCAGGAGAGGGAAGUGGAAUUCCCGGUGUAGUGGUGAAAUGCGUAGAUAUCGGGAGGAACACCAGUGGCGAAGGCGACUUCCUGGCCUGUUCUUGACACUGAGGCGCGAAAGCUAGGGGAGCAAACGGG
rnacentral:rRNA from 1 species